rnacentral:rRNA from 1 species
AGAUUGAACGCUGGCGGCAUGCCUUACACAUGCAAGUCGAACGGUAACGCGGGGCAACCUGGCGACGAGUGGCGAACGGGUGAGUAAAGCAUCGGAACGUGCCCAGUAGUGGGGGAUAGCCCGGCGAAAGCCGGAUUAAUACCGCAUACGACCUACGGGUGAAAGGGGGGAUCGCAAGACCUCUCGCUAUUGGAGCGGCCGAUGUCAGAUUAGGUAGUUGGUGGGGUAAAGGCUCACCAAGCCGACGAUCUGUAGCUGGUCUGAGAGGACGACCAGCCACACUGGGACUGAGACACGGCCCAGACUCCUACGGGAGGCAGCAGUGGGAAUUUGGACAAUGGGCGCAAGCCUGAUCCGAGCCAUGCCGCGUGCGGAAGAAGGCCUUCGGGUUGUAACCGUCUUUGUCAGGAAGAAAGCGUCUGGUUAAUACCGUAGGUAAGUGAACGUACGUAGAAGAAUAAGACACGUAGUACGUAAC